AGGGUUUGAUCAUGGCUCAGGACGAACGCUGGCGGCGUGCUUAACACAUGCAAGUCGAACGGAAAGGCCCUGCUUGCAGGGUACUCGAGUGGCGAACGGGUGAGUAACACGUGGGUGAUCUGCCCUGCACUUCGGGAUAAGCCUGGGAAACUGGGUCUAAUACCGGAUAGGAGCCAUUUUUAGUGUGAUGGUUGGAAAGUUUUUUCGGUGUAGGAUGAGCUCGCGGCCUAUCAGCUUGUUGGUGGGGUAAUGGCCUACCAAGGCGGCGACGGGUAGCCGGCCUGAGAGGGUGGACGGCCACAUUGGGACUGAGAUACGGCCCAGACUCCUACGGGAGGCAGCAGUGGGGAAUAUUGCACAAUGGGCGCAAGCCUGAUGCAGCGACGCCGCGUGGGGGAUGACGGCCUUCGGGUUGUAAACUCCUUUCGCUAGGGACGAAGCUUUUUGUGACGGUACCUAGAUAAGAAGCACCGGCUAACUACGUGCCAGCAGCCGCGGUAAUACGUAGGGUGCGAGCGUUGUCCGGAAUUACUGGGCGUAAAGGGCUCGUAGGUGGUUUGUCGCGUCGUCUGUGAAAUUCCGGGGCUUAACUCCGGGCGUGCAGGCGAUACGGGCAUAACUUGAGUACUGUAGGGGUAACUGGAAUUCCUGGUGUAGCGGUGAAAUGCGCAGAUAUCAGGAGGAACACCGAUGGCGAAGGCAGGUUACUGGGCAGUUACUGACGCUGAGGAGCGAAAGCAUGGGUAGCGAACAGGAUUAGAUACCCUGGUAGUCCAUGCCGUAAACGGUGGGCGCUAGGUGUGAGGGUCUUUUCACGACUUUCGUGCCGUAGCUAACGCAUUAAGCGCCCCGCCUGGGGAGUACGGCCGCAAGGCUAAACUCAAAGGAAUUGACGGGGGCCCGCACAAGCGGCG
rnacentral:rRNA from 1 species